CUAGGCGAAUUAUUCUUUGUUGGGCAGUCGGAGAACGAUGUUGAAAACAAAGUCGUCGUACAUUGGUGCUUGAAUUUUAACCAACCUAUUAAUUUUGUGUUUGAAUGGUAACAUUCGUACUCUAAUUGCUCUUAUUCUGAAGAAUGGCGUAGGGAUAAUGUCUGUUAUGACUACCAGAGCCAUAUAUUGAACAUUGAACAACUAGGCGAAUUUCUGACAGCUGCUUGAAUUUUUUGAUUCUUUUCUGAUGGCGUAUUCGCUUGGAUGCACUGAGUGCGUACUGAGUGCGACUAAGGCUUGUCCAUAAUCUAUUUUUCAUUUAAGAACGGCUUACAUAAAUCUUCAAAUACUUUUUAACCAGUGAAAUGCUCUAUAUAACAUCCGUACGAAUCAUUUUGAUGACUAAGAAGUUAAUGAAAAUGUAUUUGAAACAACUUUAAAUUUAAGAAUGGACUAUGAACAAGCCUUAAUCGCACUCAGUGCAUCCAAGCGAAUACACCAUGAAGCAUUAGGCCUGUUCGUUUUGUCUGCACUGUUGAACUGGUGCAUUAAGUUAAAGUGAGACAAACGUAGAUUUUCUCAUUCCAACUUGUUGCACCAGUUCAGCAGUGCAAGCAAAACGAACAAGCCUAUUAGAUGUGUUAAACAGUACUUGGCAAGACAUUUAUUACAAGAAUAUUCAAUAUCAAAUACUGUUGAUGGACCAAAUAUAAUUGAUAAUUGCACAUCUUAUAUAAGACAACAUUGCACAUCAUCUUAUACAAGAGGCAUUUCUUUUAAAGAAAAGUUAAUGUUUUGGGCAAAUGAACACAAAGUUCAACAUCAUGCUUUAUCGUCAUUGCUCAAAAUAUUAAAAACUGAAGGUCAUGACGAUUUUCCUAAUGAUGCAAGAACAUUAUUGAACACUCCACGAUGUACAAAUAUUUAUAAGACAUCAGGUGGUGAUUAUUAUCAUCAUGGUUUAAAAAAUGGAAUCAUCAAUAUACUAUGUCAGCAAAAUAACAACUGUUCUUUAUGGACAGAUGAAUCAUUUAAAUUCCGACAGAAUCCAGAACAUCAUACUGGUAUAUCUUCUUUUGAAGAAAUUCCAUUACCAAUGGUCCUCGCAUUGCAGCCCGAUUAUCUGGAUUGCAAAAUGGAACUCCUGUUAUCAUUGGUCAAGAAUAUAUUAAUUAUUCAAGUUAUACUUUAUAUCCAUGUGAUUCGAGGCAUAUAAAUGUUUUUGUGAUCGAUGACGAUUUAACUGAGUUGAAAUGUUUUCCUAUUUCUGAAAUAUCUAAGAAAGCUGUUGUACUCCCAUGGAAUGGGGAGGAGCGAUUUUGCGCUUUUCCACUACUACAUUCCGAUAUAUUGGAAGAUGUUGUAGUGUGUAGUGAUAGGUACAAACUGGUGCUCAGUUGUUCCCCAGUCAUGGGUUAAUAACGAGGAAAAGACGUGUUUAUGGCCCCC
rnacentral:misc_RNA from 1 species